UACGUAUGUGGCAAGCGUUGUCCGGAAUUAUUGGGCGUAAAGCGCUCACAGGCGGUCCUUUAAGUCUGAUGUGAAAGCCCACGGCUCAACCGUGGAGGGUCAUUGGAAACUGGGGGACUUGAGUGCAGAAGAGGAGAGUGGAAUUCCACGUGUAGCGGUGAAAUGCGUAGAGAUGGGGAGGAACACCAGUGGCGAAGGCGACUCUCUGGUCUGUAACUGACGCUGAGGAGCGAAAGCGUGGGGAGCGAGCAGG
rnacentral:misc_RNA from 1 species